rnacentral:rRNA from 1 species
UACGGAGGGGGCUAGCGUUGUUCGGAAUUACUGGGCGUAAAGCGCACGUAGGCGGCUUUACAAGUCAGAGGUGAAAGCCCGGAGCUCAACUCCGGAAUUGCCUUUGAGACUGUAUCGCUUGAACACGGGAGAGGUGAGUGGAAUUCCGAGUGUAGAGGUGAAAUUCGUAGAUAUUCGGAAGAACACCAGUGGCGAAGGCGGCUCACUGGACCGUUGUUGACGCUGAGGUGCGAAAGCGUGGGGAGCAAAC